rnacentral:sRNA from 1 species
CAAGCACCUCGGUAGGUGAGGCGUCUGCACGGAUACAGGCCACUGACCCCGAACGUCGAGAGACGCCCCGGGUCAGGACAGCUCUUCCCGGACCCAAGGGUUGAGCCCAAGUGGCUUCCGGAACGAGGAGCGAUCGCAAGCGCGGCGCAGCCGGGCGAAGCGGGUCGCGACCGUCGGUUAGUUCCGGAUACGCCGUGCAGUGCCGAAGCUCCGACGAGAGGGGUGCGAU